rnacentral:rRNA from 1 species
CCUACGGGGGGCUGCAGUGGGGAAUAUUGCACAAUGGGCGCAAGCCUGAUGCAGCCAUGCCGCGUGUGUGAAGCAGGCCUUCGGGUUGUAAAGCACUUUCAGCGGGGAGGAAGGCGUUAAGGUUAAUAACCUUGGCGAUUGACGUUACCCGCAGAAGAAGCACCGGCUAACUCCGUGCCAGCAGCCGCGGUAAUACGGAGGGUGCAAGCGUUAAUCGGAAUUACUGGGCGUAAAGCGCACGCAGGCGGUCUGUCAAGUCGGAUGUGAAAUCCCCGGGCUCAACCUGGGAACUGCAUUCGAAAAUGGCAGGCUAGAGUCUUGUAGAGGGGGGUAGAAUUCCAGGUGUAGCGGUGAAAUGCGUAGAGAUCUGGAGGAAUACCGGUGGCGAAGGCGGCCCCCUGGACAAAGACUGACGCUCAGGUGCGAAAGCGUGGGGAGCAAACAGGAUUAGAUACCCGAGUAGUC